UGGGCAACCUGCCCUCAGCUCUGGGAUAACUCCGGGAAACCGGUGCUAAUACUGGAUAUCGACUUCUGCUCGCAUGGGUGGUGGUUGAAAGUUUUUCGGCUGGGGAUGGGCCCGCGGCCUAUCAGCUUGUUGGUGAGGUAACGGCUCACCAAGGCUUCGACGGGUAGCCGGCCUGAGAGGGCGACCGGCCACACUGGGACUGAGAUACGGCCCAGACUCCUACGGGGAGGCA
rnacentral:rRNA from 1 species